rnacentral:lncRNA from 1 species
CUGGAGUUCAAACAGUAUUCUCAGUUCCAAGAAACCUGCGGCUUGCGACUUCCGGGUCAGUGGGAGGAGAAUGCCGGAAAAAGGAAAGUGGGUUCCCUGUUGCCCGUCUGGACAGCCUGUCAGCGCAGUGCCAGGGUCCCCGGGAGACGGUCAGUUCUGUUGCCCAAAUACGGGACAAUAAAAACCCCUCUAAGUAGAGGUUUGGAGAGUCUGAAUAUUUCCAGGAAAACCCAUAGAAGGGUCUUUUUCAAACCACAGAUAGGGGCAGAAAAGUAGGGAGUCAUUUUAUUUCCUCUGACUACUAUUUCGGAACUCCUCCAUUAAGUGAAGCAAAACAGCGGGUUGAAAUUACAUCUCUAUUUUUUUUACGUUACUUAAAAAAAAUUAAUUCAAGCCCUUGUUUUUUUCUUAAAUAAAAGAUACAGAAAGCUAAACGAAUAUGAAGUAACAGUCUUGUUUUCCUAUCUCUUCAUAUCCCUUUCAAAAUUUCUUUUUGUAUAAGUCCAAAAAAAUACAAAACCGAACUUUAUGUGUAGACCCACUCAUGUAGCAGAUACACUAUAUUGUGUAUUUUACCCAAAUAGAAAUAUCAAAUACUAUAGAGUACUUUGAUUUCUCUCUUAACAUUUCUUGGAGACAUUUCAAUAUUAUUAUAUAUAGAUCUUUGCAUUCUUUUUAAUAUUUGCAAGGCAUUCUAUUGUUUGAAUGUACCAUAAUAUAGCUAACUAGUGAUUUCUGUAUCUUGUUGCAAAUACUGCUGUAAUGGAGAGGAUAAAUUCCUUACAUGGCAUUUCUUGGAUCAGUGCAUCUUAAAUUUUGACAGAUUAACAAAGUUCAGAGAGUGUAGGAGGGCCUUCCCAUUAAAUCUAUGGUCAACCAUUCACAUUUUCCAAAAGUUAGUUGACAAUUACAAGGUUUGGGGACUUUCAGUUAUAAUUGUAUUGCAAAAAUAAUAAGAGAGGAACCAGGCAGAGGUUAUGUUAAAAGGCCCUUGGUGGCUGUCAAGGACAUGUGGUUCAGCCUUUGAAGUCAGUUUCAAUAGAUUUUCAUGUGAAAUAAGCAGAGUAAAAUGUUGCCAUUUCAGAUUUCACAAGUGAUAUUGUUUAAUGUACUGAUGUUUCUUGUAAA